CACACUAUCAUUAACUGAAUCCAUAGGUUAAUGAGGCGAACCGGGGGAACUGAAACAUCUAAGUACCCCGAGGAAAAGAAAUCAACCGAGAUUCCCCCAGUAGCGGCGAGCGAACGGGGAGCAGCCCAGAGCCUGAAUCAGUGUGUGUGUUAGUGGAAGCGUCUGGAAAGGCGCGCGAUACAGGGUGACAGCCCCGUACACAAAAAUGCACAUGCUGUGAGCUCGAUGAGUAGGGCGGGACACGUGGUAUCCUGUCUGAAUAUGGGGGGACCAUCCUCCAAGGCUAAAUACUCCUGACUGACCGAUAGUGAACCAGUACCGUGAGGGAAAGGCGAAAAGAACCCCGGCGAGGGGAGUGAAAAAGAACCUGAAACCGUGUACGUACAAGCAGUGGGAGCACGCUUAGGCGUGUGACUGCGUACCUUUUGUAUAAUGGGUCAGCGACUUAUAUUCUGUAGCAAGGUUAACCGAAUAGGGGAGCCGAAGGGAAACCGAGUCUUAACUGGGCGUUAAGUUGCAGGGUAUAGACCCGAAACCCGGUGAUCUAGCCAUGGGCAGGUUGAAGGUUGGGUAACACUAACUGGAGGACCGAACCGACUAAUGUUGAAAAAUUAGCGGAUGACUUGUGGCUGGGGGUGAAAGGCCAAUCAAACCGGGAGAUAGCUGGUUCUCCCCGAAAGCUAUUUAGGUAGCGCCUCGUGAAUUCAUCUCCGGGGGUAGAGCACUGUUUCGGCAAGGGGGUCAUCCCGACUUACCAACCCGAUGCAAACUGCGAAUACCGGAGAAUGUUAUCACGGGAGACACACGGCGGGUGCUAACGUCCGUCGUGAAGAGGGAAACAACCCAGACCGCCAGCUAAGGUCCCAAAGUCAUGGUUAAGUGGGAAACGAUGUGGGAAGGCCCAGACAGCCAGGAUGUUGGCUUAGAAGCAGCCAUCAUUUAAAGAAAGCGUAAUAGCUCACUGGUCGAGUCGGCCUGCGCGGAAGAUGUAACGGGGCUAAACCAUGCACCGAAGCUGCGGCAGCGACGCUUAUGCGUUGUUGGGUAGGGGAGCGUUCUGUAAGCCUGCGAAGGUGUGCUGUGAGGCAUGCUGGAGGUAUCAGAAGUGCGAAUGCUGACAUAAGUAACGAUAAAGCGGGUGAAAAGCCCGCUCGCCGGAAGACCAAGGGUUCCUGUCCAACGUUAAUCGGGGCAGGGUGAGUCGACCCCUAAGGCGAGGCCGAAAGGCGUAGUCGAUGGGAAACAGGUUAAUAUUCCUGUACUUGGUGUUACUGCGAAGGGGGGACGGAGAAGGCUAUGUUGGCCGGGCGACGGUUGUCCCGGUUUAAGCGUGUAGGCUGGUUUUCCAGGCAAAUCCGGAAAAUCAAGGCUGAGGCGUGAUGACGAGGCACUACGGUGCUGAAGCAACAAAUGCCCUGCUUCCAGGAAAAGCCUCUAAGCAUCAGGUAACAUCAAAUCGUACCCCAAACCGACACAGGUGGUCAGGUAGAGAAUACCAAGGCGCUUGAGAGAACUCGGGUGAAGGAACUAGGCAAAAUGGUGCCGUAACUUCGGGAGAAGGCACGCUGAUAUGUAGGUGAAGUCCCUCGCGGAUGGAGCUGAAAUCAGUCGAAGAUACCAGCUGGCUGCAACUGUUUAUUAAAAACACAGCACUGUGCAAACACGAAAGUGGACGUAUACGGUGUGACGCCUGCCCGGUGCCGGAAGGUUAAUUGAUGGGGUCAGCGCAAGCGAAGCUCUUGAUCGAAGCCCCGGUAAACGGCGGCCGUAACUAUAACGGUCCUAAGGUAGCGAAAUUCCUUGUCGGGUAAGUUCCGACCUGCACGAAUGGCGUAAUGAUGGCCAGGCUGUCUCCACCCGAGACUCAGUGAAAUUGAACUCGCUGUGAAGAUGCAGUGUACCCGCGGCAAGACGGAAAGACCCCGUGAACCUUUACUAUAGCUUGACACUGAACAUUGAGCCUUGAUGUGUAGGAUAGGUGGGAGGCUUUGAAGUGUGGACGCCAGUCUGCAUGGAGCCGACCUUGAAAUACCACCCUUUAAUGUUUGAUGUUCUAACGUUGACCCGUAAUCCGGGUUGCGGACAGUGUCUGGUGGGUAGUUUGACUGGGGCGGUCUCCUCCUAAAGAGUAACGGAGGAGCACGAAGGUUGGCUAAUCCUGGUCGGACAUCAGGAGGUUAGUGCAAUGGCAUAAGCCAGCUUGACUGCGAGCGUGACGGCGCGAGCAGGUGCGAAAGCAGGUCAUAGUGAUCCGGUGGUUCUGAAUGGAAGGGCCAUCGCUCAACGGAUAAAAGGUACUCCGGGGAUAACAGGCUGAUACCGCCCAAGAGUUCAUAUCGACGGCGGUGUUUGGCACCUCGAUGUCGGCUCAUCACAUCCUGGGGCUGAAGUAGGUCCCAAGGGUAUGGCUGUUCGCCAUUUAAAGUGGUACGCGAGCUGGGUUUAGAACGUCGUGAGACAGUUCGGUCCCUAUCUGCCGUGGGCGCUGGAGAACUGAGGGGGGCUGCUCCUAGUACGAGAGGACCGGAGUGGACGCAUCACUGGUGUUCGGGUUGUCAUGCCAAUGGCACUGCCCGGUAGCUAAAUGCGGAAGAGAUAAGUGCUGAAAGCAUCUAAGCACGAAACUUGCCCCGAGAUGAGUUCUCCCUGACUCCUUGAGAGUCCUGAAGGAACGUUGAAGACGACGACGUUGAUAGGCCGGGUGUGUAAGCGCAGCGAUGCGUUGAGCUAACCGGUACUAAUGAACCGUGAGGCUUAACCUU
rnacentral:rRNA from 1 species